UACGUAGGGUCCGAGCGUUGUCCGGAAUUACUGGGCGUAAAGAGCUCGUAGGUGGUUUGUCGCGUUGUUCGUGAAAACUCACAGCUCAACUGUGGGCGUGCGGGCGAUACGGGCAGACUAGAGUACUGCAGGGGAGACUGGAAUUCCUGGUGUAGCGGUGGAAUGCGCAGAUAUCAGGAGGAAUACCGGUGGCGAAGGCGGCAUCCUGGACCGAGAUUGACACUGAUGAGCGAAAGCUAGGGGAGCAAACGGG
rnacentral:rRNA from 1 species